rnacentral:misc_RNA from 1 species
UGUACAAACAGUACUUUGACUUGACUUUGGUGAAUGAUGAUUUUGAGGAGACCUACCGGGAACUUAAGAAGGCCUUGUCAGACCUCAGUGCAGCCACUCAGUGGGUGCCUGUGGAUUGGGUGUAUUGAAAUUAUUGUUCUGCCAUAAUACCUUCAUCUAACACCCAUCAUUUUCUAUGCAGAGUUUCAUUACAAUAUCAUUAGGAAGUAUAGUUUGUCCACGUCUACUUAUUAUCCUGAAAUCCGCCACUGCUAGGAAGGGUAUGUGCACACUUUGAGAUGAAUAGAGCUAAAAUUGUUGAGCACAGCUGCACUAAAUCUAAAGCACGAAGACUAAAACUAUGACAAAUGUUCUAAGUUAAACGAUGAAAUCAAGUUUAGACACCUUCUUGCAACUUUACAUGUACUGGCACUAGAAUCGAAAGGUUUUUUAUUGCCAGAAAAGUGUUUUGUUAUCAGUUCUGAUUUUACUCAAUGAAUUUGAUUAAUUGGAUUUGGAACAAGAUUAAUGUAACCCAGUUUGUAUGAAUCAUAUUUCAGAGGUUGUAUUAGCAGAAUUGAUUGUAAAAUUAACACAGAAUACAGAACAGAAUAUUUUCUGAACAUGUAUGUAUAUUUUUUCGGAUGUGCUAUUUUUGUUGAUGAAAUUUAUAUCCAUAUACAUCAUACCAUGUACAUUUAUUUGCAUUGUAUAUUUAUAAUUUCUACAAAUGUUUUUUCAUUUAUUAUUAGGGUAUUUUAAUUUGUAUAACCAAUUUUGCAUGCAGUAGAGUUUUUUUAUGGAAAAGAUUCUGGUUGUGAGUCUUAAGAUUGUGUUUUUAACGUAACACUUGUAUAGUUUGAAGGUUGUAACCACCCAUUAUACAAUUUUUCAUGUUGAUUGCUUAGAACACAGCUUGGUUACUAAAUCUGCAUUUAUGAAUUUUAUGAAAAAAAUCCACAGGAUGAAUUUAAGGUACUGAGAAAUUUGUAUGCAACUUCACUGUAAGACUUACAGAAUCUCAUACUCAAAUAAUCACCACAGUGACCUGGUCGUCUUGCUUUGUGAGUCCCUAUCAUUCAUAUCAAUUUAAAACAUUUACAGAGGUUUCAAAAGAAGAGUGUUGGUGCCUUGAAUUCACACUUACAAUAUUCAAUGCAAAUUUUAUAUAUAUAAAAAAAAACCUGCUAUGAAAUUCAUUCCAUGUAAUUGUAUGCAGUAGUGGUUAGUGCAAAAUCGGGAACAAUGGUGUCAGGUGAUAGUUUUAUUUAUUGUAGAGUCAAGUGACCAAUAUUUUCAGGGUUUAACUUUAAGAUGCAGAUUUCUUCCAUUCCUUUUUUUCCCUGGAAAGAAAGACAAUUUGAUAUUUUAUUGAAUCAUGUCUUACAUUCCUUUGAAAUUUCUGAAGAUUUUGUAUGAACUUUUUUAAAAGUUGUCAUUUAUACCACACAAACACAUUCCAUACAUGGAGGACACAUUCAGUAAGAAUUUACAGCUGUGUACAAUCCUUAAUCUUGAAAAAAAAAUGUUGGCAGUGCAUAUUUUAUAUGAUGUGCAAUGUUCUACAGCAUUCCAUUUAUUGUUUACAAUAGUGAUUAUUUUAUUAUAAUAAAUACUGGAAAUGU